rnacentral:rRNA from 1 species
CCUACGUGCUGCAGCAGUGGGGAAUAUUGGACAAUGGGCGAAAGCCUGAUCCAGCCAUGCCGCGUGUGUGAAGAAGGCCUUCGGGUUGUAAAGCACUUUCAGUGGGAAGAAAGCCUUGGGGCUAAUACCCUCGAGGAAGGACAUCACCCACAGAAGAAGCACCGGCUAACUCCGUGCCAGCAGCCGCGGUAAUACGGAGGGUGCGAGCGUUAAUCGGAAUUACUGGGCGUAAAGCGCGCGUAGGCGGUCUGAUAAGCCGGUUGUGAAAGCCCCGGGCUCAACCUGGGAACGGCAUCCGGAACUGUCAGGCUAGAGUGCAGGAGAGGAAGGUAGAAUUCCCGGUGUAGCGGUGAAAUGCGUAGAGAUCGGGAGGAAUACCAGUGGCGAAGGCGGCCUUCUGGACUGACACUGACGCUGAGGUGCGAAAGCGUGGGUAGCAAACAGGAUUAGAUACCCUGGUAGUC